rnacentral:rRNA from 1 species
GGACUACAGGGGUAUCUAAUCCUGUUUGCUCCCCACGCUUUCGCACCUCAGCGUCAGUUAUGGACCAGUAAGCCGCCUUCGCCACUGGUGUUCCUGCGAAUAUCUACGAAUUUCACCUCUACACUCGCAAUUCCACUUACCUCUUCCAUACUCAAGAUACCCAGUAUCAAAGGCAGUUCCGCAGUUGAGCUGCGGGAUUUCACCCCUGACUUAAAUAUCCGCCUACGUGCGCUUUACGCCCAGUAAUUCCGAACAACGCUAGCCCCCUUCGUAUUACCGCGGCUGCUGGCAC